rnacentral:rRNA from 1 species
AGCGAACGUUAGCGGCGGGCCUAACACAUGCAAGUCGAGCGAGAAAGGGGCUUCGGCCCCGAGUAAAGCGGCGGACGGGUGAGGAACACGGAGGUAAUCUGCCCUUCGAUGGAGGACAACGGUCCGAAAGGACCGCUAAUACUGCAUACGUUCCCCGGGAUUCCGGGCCUGGGGAGGAAAGCCUCGCAAGGGGCGUCGGAGGAGGAGCCUGCGUCGCAUCCGCUAGUUGGUGGGGGAACAGCCUACCAAGGCGAAGACGCGUAGCUGGUCUGAGAGGAUGAUCAGCCACACUGGGACUGAGACACGGCCCAGACUCCUACGGGAGGCAGCAGUGGGGAAUAUUGGACAAUGGGCGAAAGCCUGAUCCAGCCACGCCGCGUGAGUGAUGAAGGCCUUCGGGUCGUAAAGCUCUGUGGGGAGGGACGAACGUCCCCGUGAAGAACGGGGGGUGACGGUACCUCCUUAGCAAGCACCGGCUAACUUCGUGCCAGCCGCCGCAGUAAUAC